GACGAACGCUGGCGGCGUGCCUAAUACAUGCAAGUCGAACGCAGUGGGGACGGGUGAGUAACACGUGGGUAACCUCCCAUCACAGGGGAUAACACUUGGAAACAGGUGCUACUCCGAUAAUGAUGGAUAAACCCGCGGUGCAUUAGCGAGUUGGUGAGGUAACGGCUCACCAAGGCCACGAUGCAUAGCCGACCUGAGAGGGUGAGCGGCCACACUGGAACUGAGACACGGCCCAGACUCCUACGGGAGGCAGCAGUGGGGAAUCUUGGGCAAUGGGCGAAAGUCGGACCGAGCAACGCCGCGUGAGUGAAGAAGGUUUUCGGGUCGUAAAGCUCUUUUGUUAGAGAAGCGUUACCCAACCAAGAAGCAACGGCUAACUACGUGCCAGCAGCCGCGGUAAUAC
rnacentral:rRNA from 1 species